rnacentral:rRNA from 1 species
UACGGGGGGGGUAAGCGUUGUUCGGAAUUACUGGGCGUAAAGGGCUCGUAGGCGGCCAACUAAGUCAUACGUGAAAUCCCUCAGCUUAACUGGGGAACUGCGUGUGAUACUGGAUGGCUUGGAUUUGGGAGAGGGAUGCGGAAUUCCAGGUGUAGCGGUGAAAUGCGUAGAUAUCGGGAAGAACACCAGUGGCGAAGGCGGCUCACUGGCCCGGUACUGACGCUGAGGCGCGAAAGCGUGGGGAGCAAACAGGG